rnacentral:rRNA from 1 species
UACGAAGGGGGCUAGCGUUGCUCGGAAUCACUGGGCGUAAAGGGUGCGUAGGCGGGUCUUUUAAGUUAGGGGUGAAAUCCUGGAGCUCAACUCCAGAACUGCCUUUGAUACUGAAGAUCUUGAGUUCGGGAGAGGUGAGUGGAACUGCGAGUGUAGAGGUGAAAUUCGUAGAUAUUCGCAAGAACACCAGUGGCGAAGGCGGCUCACUGGCCCGGUACUGACGCUGAGGUGCGAAAGCGUGGGGAGCAAACAGG